rnacentral:rRNA from 1 species
AGAGACAGCAGUAGCCGCGGUAAUACGAAGGGUGCAAGCGUUACUCGGAAUUACUGGGCGUAAAGCGCGCGUAGGUGGUUUGUUAAGUUGGAUGUGAAAGCCCCGGGCUCAACCUGGGAACUGCAUCCAAAACUGGCAAGCUAGAGUACGGUAGAGGGUGGUGGAAUUUCCUGUGUAGCGGUGAAAUGCGUAGAUAUAGGAAGGAACACCAGUGGCGAAGGCGACCACCUGGACUGAUACUGACACUGAGGUGCGAAAGCGUGGGGAGCAAACAGGAUUAGAUACCCCCGUAGUCCCUGUCUCUUAUAC